AUUGAACGCUGGCGGAAUGCUUUACACAUGCAAGUCGAGCGGCAGCGCGGGGGCAACCCUGGCGGCGAGCGGCGAACGGGUGAGUAACACAUCGGAACGUACCCAGUUGUGGGGGAUAGCCCGGCGAAAUCCGGAUUAAUACCGCAUACGACCUGAGGGUGAAAGGGGGGGAUCGCAAUGCCUCUCGCAGUUGGAGCGGCCGGUGACGGAUUAGCUAGUUGGUGAGGUAAAGGCCCACCAAGGCGACGAGCCGUAGCUGGUCUGAGAGGACGACCAGCCACACUGGAACUGGGACACGGUCCAGACUCCUACGGGAGGCAGCAGUGGGGAAUUUUGGACAAUGGGGGCAACCCUGAUCCAGCCAUUCCGCGUGAGUGAAGAAGGCCUUCGGGUUGUAAAGCUCUUUCGGCAGGAACGAACCGGUGGAGGCUAAUACCUUUCAUCAAUGACGGUACCUGAAGAAGAAGCACCGGCUAACUACGUGCCAGCCGCCGCAGUAA
rnacentral:rRNA from 1 species